rnacentral:rRNA from 1 species
GUACGGCUCAGUUAACACGUGGAUAACCUACCCUUAAGGAAGGGGAUAACCUCGGGAAACUGAGGAUAAUACCCUAUAGGUUACAGACGCUGGAAUGCCCUGUAACCGAAAGCUCCGGCGCCUUAGGAUGGAUCUGCGGCCGAUUAGGUUGUUGUUGGGGUAACGGCCCAACAAGCCGAUAAUCGGUACGGGUUGUGGGAGCAAGAGCCCGGAGUUGGAUUCUGAGACAUGAAUCCAGGCCCUACGGGGCGCAGCAGGCGCGAAAACUUUACAAUGCGGGAAACCGUGAUAAGGGAACCCCGAGUGCCUGUAUAUGCAGGCUGUCCAGGUGUCUAAAAAACACCUGAAGAAAGGGCCGGGCAAGACCGGUGCCAGCCGCCGCGGUAAUACCGGCGGCUCGAGUGGUGGCCACUUUUAUUGGGCUUAAAGCGUUCGUAGCUGGGUUGUUAAGUCUCUUGGGAAAUCUGACGGCUCAACCGUCAGGCGUCCAAGGGAUACUGGCAAUCUUGGAACCGGGAGAGGUGAGGGGUACUUCGGGGGUAGGAGUGAAAUCCUGUAAUCCUCGAGGGACCACCUGUGGCGAAGGCGCCUCACCAGAACGGCUUCGACAGUGAGGGACGAAAGCUGGGGGAGCAAACCGGAUUAGAUACCCGGGUAGUCCCAGCCGUAAACGAUGCGCGUUAGGUGUAUCGGUGACCACGAGUCACCGA